AGUGAACGCUGGCGGCAGGCCUAACACAUGCAAGUCGAACGGCAGCACAGUAAUAGCUUGCUUUUACGGGCGGCGAGGGGCGUACCACGGAGGUAUACAUCCCUAUCCAUUGUGUCGACGGGGGGAACGUGGGGAAACUUACGGUAAUACCGCAUACGACCUACGGGUGGGAUCAGGGGAUCUUCGGAUCUUGCGUGAACGAACGAGCCGUGGUCGGGUUGGCUAGUUGGCGGCGUACAGGCGCACCAAGGCGUCGGUCGGUAGCUGGGCUGAGAGGAGGAUCAGGCACAGUGGAACUGAGACACGGUCUAGACUCCUACGGGAGGCAGCGGUGGGGAAUAUUGGACAAUGGGCGGAAGCCUGAUCCAGCGAUGCCGCGUGGGUGAAGAAGGCCUGCGGGUUGUAAAGCCCUUUUGUUGGGGAAGAAAGGCAGCAGGUUGAGACCCGGCUGUCCUGACGGUACCAAAAGAAUAAGCACCGGCUAACUUCGUG
rnacentral:rRNA from 1 species